CACACGCUUCCUUAGAUCCACUUUCAGAAUGUGUUGUCAUGGCAUAUGACGUGCUCGUAUGAUCACCUGAUUUCACGUCAUUUUCCAUGACGUCAUUCAACAGCCUUACGCUGCCUCAUUGAAAGUGCAUGAGUCAUUGGUGUGUGACAGCAACAUACCCCCUUUGUGCUCGUCUUUCUGGCUGAUGUAUUGUUGAACAUUUUUGAGAUGGUUCAUCUCAUCGAUGGCUUAACUUUUGUUACACCCAGCCGACGGCACAGGGGACAUU